AUUCAGUGGUAGCGUGAGAGAGGAUUUCCCAUUUCUAACCCUCAGCUGAUCUGCCUGCAAGGAAGAGGGGAAAUGCCAUGGGUUCCAGAUUUAAGGGAAAUUCAGGAUGAAGAAGACCAAAGCACUUGACCGACUGUACGUUGUGAGACCCUUCGGUUCAACAUCAUGAGCCUCAGCUACUUCCUGACUGCUAUCCAUUCCAUCUAUUGAGGUUUCUUUUUCUGCAGAGAGAGAGAGAGAGAGAAAAAAAAAGGGAGGCUGGAUGACUUAAUGGGAGGAGAAAGAGAUGAACAAAGAUUAUGUGGAGAAGAGCAACUGAUGUGUCAAAUGCUAUCGCCCAGGUUUGGAAUGUCAAGGAAAGGCAGAGGAAGGUGGCAGGCCUUUUUGUGUUUGGGCUUACUUCCUUGUGAGGUGGGACAUGCCAGCACACUCUGGGAUGGAAGAAAUGCCAAAAUGACUUCCAAAGUGGCUGUGCCAUUUUGCACGUCUUUCCGCAAUGAAUGAGGGUUCCUGUUGCUCCGCACCCCUAUCAGCAUUUUGUACAUCAGGUUU